rnacentral:rRNA from 1 species
UGAGGAAUAUUGGGCAAUGCCCGCAAGGGUGACCCAGCAACGCCGCGUGGAGGAUGAAUGUCGUAAGAUUGUAAACUCCUGUUAGAGGGGAAGAAUAGUACCGGUUGGACCGGUAUAUGACUGUACCCUCAGAGAAAGCCCCGGCUAACUACGUGCCAGCAGCCGCGGUAAUACGUAGGGGGCAAGCGUUGUCCGGAUUUACUAGGUGUAAAGGGCGCGCAGGCGGGAUAAAAAGUCAGUGGUGAAAUCCUACAGCUUAACUGUAGAACUGCCUUUGNUACUUUUAUUCUUGAGUUCGGGAGAGAGAGACGGAAUUCCAGGUGUAGUGGUGAAAUACGUAGAUAUCUGGAAGAACACCAGUUGCGAAGGCGGUCUCUUGGUCCGACACUGACGCUGAGGCGCGAAAGCGUGGGGAGCAAACA